CCACCACCAAAGCAUUCUCUGGUGUUGAAGGCCCUGCAAAGCAGCAUCGCGGUGGCGGAGCGUCGUUUGCGACGCCCAACACACAAAACAAGCGGUGAGUGCUUUGGGGUGGGGUGACUGCGUACCUUUUGUAUAAUGGGUCAGCGACUUAUAUUCUGUAGCAAGGUUAACCGUAUAGGGGAGCCGUAGGGAAACCGAGUCUUAACCGGGCGUUAAGUUGCAGGGUAUAGACCCGAAACCCGGUGAUCUAGCCAUGGGCAGGUUGAAGGUUGGGUAACACUAACUGGAGGACCGAACCGACUAAUGUUGAAAAAUUAGCGGAUGACUUGUGGCUGGGGGUGAAAGGCCAAUCAAACCGGGAGAUAGCUGGUUCUCCCCGAAAGCUAUUUAGGUAGCGCCUCGUGAAUUCAUCUUCGGGGGUAGAGCACUGUUUCGGCUAGGGGGUCAUCCCGACUUACCAACCCGAUGCAAACUGCGAAUACCGGAGAAUGUUAUCACGGGAGACACACGGCGGGUGCUAACGUCCGUCGUGAAGAGGGAAACAACCCAGACCGCCAGCUAAGGUCCCAAAGUCAUGGUUAAGUGGGAAACGAUGUGGGAAGGCCCAGACAGCCAGGAUGUUGGCUUAGAAGCAGCCAUCAUUUAAAGAAAGCGUAAUAGCUCACUGGUCGAGUCGGCCUGCGCGGAAGAUGUAACGGGGCUAAACCAUGCACCGAAGCUGCGGCAGCGACACUGUGUGUUGUUGGGUAGGGGAGCGUUCUGUAAGCCUGCGAAGGUGGCCUGUGAGGGUUGCUGGAGGUAUCAGAAGUGCGAAUGCUGACAUAAGUAACGAUAAAGCGGGUGAAAAGCCCGCUCGCCGGAAGACCAAGGGUUCCUGUCCAACGUUAAUCGGGGCAGGGUGAGUCGACCCCUAAGGCGAGGCCGAAAGGCGUAGUCGAUGGGAAACAGGUUAAUAUUCCUGUACUUGGUGUUACUGCGAAGGGGGGACGGAGAAGGCUAUGUUGGCCGGGCGACGGUUGUCCCGGUUUAAGCGUGUAGGUGUGUGUUCCAGGUAAAUCCGGUUCACUUUAACACUGAGGCGUGAUGACGAGGCACUACGGUGCUGAAGCAACAAAUGCCCUGCUUCCAGGAAAAGCCUCUAAGCAUCAGGUAACAUCAAAUCGUACCCCAAACCGACACAGGUGGUCAGGUAGAGAAUACCAAGGCGCUUGAGAGAACUCGGGUGAAGGAACUAGGCAAAAUGGUGCCGUAACUUCGGGAGAAGGCACGCUGACA
rnacentral:rRNA from 2 species